rnacentral:lncRNA from 1 species
GAAAAAUGAGAAGGGAAGGAGGAUGGAAGGAGCGAGGCACAAAAAGCGAGAGCGAAAGUGAAAAUCCUAACAAAGUUGAUGACAAAUGCAUUCAUUCUAAACUAAAAAUGUAUCGACGUCAUCCUCAAGAACCACACAAGCGUUUUGGCCAUAAAAGUUUCAAAAUAUGUGAGUGUAUGUAUACAUAAGAGGGUAAGCAGAUCGAAGCUCAAGCCUUGUGAUUGAUUGUACACUAGUUGCAUGUUGAACUAUGGGAAAGAUGAUAUUAAUAUGGAGCAACAAACCUAUAAUGGUUCCUUUAUUGUGAUUAGAUUAAAAUAUGUUAAGUUUUCAACCAGUUUAUGAAAUUGUUCAGGUUAUUAUAAGAUUGACCGCCUUCUUUGAUGCUUUCCACGACCGUUUUCUUUAAUUUUUGAAUUCUCUGUUUUGAAUCCUCAUCUGCGAUGAGCUUCUCCACUUUUUCUUUAAUCUCUGUUCUUGUAACGAUUCCAUGUUUGUCUUUCUUCAAUUUCAACCCCACCUUCCAUAUAUCACAAAUGUAGCUCUCAUUAAGAAACUGGUCGGCAAAGUAUGGCCAACACAGGAAUCGGAUGCCAUUGCUGAGGCUUUCAAGGGUAGAAUUCCAGCCACAGUGGCUCACAAAGCAAGCGAUUGAGGGAUGAUUAAGAACACUUUGUUGAGGAGCCCAACCCACAAUCUUCCCGCGAGAUUCUAUCCUCUCUUGAAACCCUAACGGGAAGACAUUGUUAGGGUCCUCUUCAGUAAUGUCUGGCCUUACCACCCAGAGAAAUGGUUUGCCUGUAAGCUCAAGCCCUAGGGCUAACUCCUGGAAUUGAGUUUUGUCUAGAACAGUGAAGCUUCCAAAUGCAAUGUAAAUGACUGAGCAUGGAGCUUUCUGGUCGAGCCAUUUCAGGCAAGUUGAGUCUUCUGGCCAGAAGUGUCCAAUAGAAUUUUCCAGUCGAUUUCUUGCUAAAAGUGGGCCGAUUGGGAGAAUACGAGGAGCUAAGCUGAAGAUUUCUGCCUCAAGGUCAUAUACUGUAUUGCAGAUAACCCAAUCUGCCACUUCUAUUGCUUUGUUGUUCGCUAAGAAAACUUGAAAUAGAAAUUUCUCGGUCUCUUUGUCACCAAUACAUGCCCAAACCAAUUUUUCUGUUCUGGUUAUGGGUACUGAUUCUGCUAACUUGAUGUCCUCGCUUUUCAGUAAGGUUCCUGUUGAUAAUGAAAUUAAUCAUGAGCAAAUUUUAUGUUGAUAUUUUGCUUAUUGAUUAGAUUGUUUCAAAUUCUUUGUGUGGCGAAGAUGGUGAAUUUCUUUGUUGUUCUGCCUACUUUAAUCUCAUUAUCUAAAGUUUAAGUGAAUGAAAGACUGAGUUUGACUUAUGAUUGAUUUUGUCUGAAUCAGAAAACUUGUUGGAUGGACUCAUCAACUCUGAUCAAGAUACAGUUGAAACCCUUCUUACCAUCAGAAUCUAUUAGUUUUUGUUCAAUCAAGUUUGGGAUGCUAAAUAGCAUAGCCAACAAUGCAGCCGCAGCUGGCCAGAAGGCGACUCGUGGGAUUUUCAUCUUCGCAGCAACUUCUAAAGCCCAUCCAAGGUUCUCAUCAGCAAUAACACCAGUAAUUUCAUUGCCACCCAAUCCAUUGAUCGUGUUUAUCAGCUCUUCUAGCUUCACAGGCAUGACUUGCAACAUUGUUUCAGUUAAUUUACCAAGAUUACUUCUAUCCUCCCCAGGUUUCAGGCCAUCUGGAAGUGAGACUAAAUGAACACGACCAUCCCCUAUCUGAUUUGUUUCUGCUAGAGCACUCACUACACGUUUGUGAUUGUACUCUGUGUUUACAAACGUGAUUUUGAAACCAUGUCUGGCUAAGCACAACGAUAAUUCCAACAAGGGAAUCACAUGGCCUUGUGCUGGAUAAGGUAUGGCCAAGAUGUGCCCACUCCCCAUUUUGCUUCUCUAAUCUUUGAUUUACUUCCUUUUCAUUUGGUUGUAGGUUCUAAACUUCAAUGUAUAGUCACAUAUAUACACAUAACCACCAAUGUAGUUGGCUUUGUGUGUAUUGCAUUUCUUUGUAUUGAUAUAAACAAUUGUGAAUUUGUUUCUGUAUUAUGUCUAUAAUUGUAGCCAUUUUGUCAUUUUUGUAUAUGAUGGUAAAAUGGCUUAGGUUAUAUCUCCUCAUUGUUCUUUAUAUUUACCAUCUACCUUUUGGUAUUGGUUGUUUUCCAUUUGUUAUUGACUUUUUCAAUAUGGAAAAUUUUCUUGAUGUUCUUACUCUCUUGUUUUACUUUAUUUUAUGUUGGAUUUAUAUGUUAUAUUAAUUAAAUUUUAGGCAGGCUUAGAGUUCCCAGGGGCAUGGAGAGUUUCUUCACUAGUGAUUUCUAACUCCAAUGAGUGAUUUUUUCUCUUUAGCCAAUCCUCCCAAGAGAAAAUUCCAAUUUGGAACUUUUAAAAUUUUAGGUUAUUAAAUUUUAAACUAAAAUUUUAAAUUAAGGUGGAAUUAGCAAAUAUGUUGCAACUGGAAGCAAUCUGAUGUUGAUUUGUUCACUUCUAUGCUACUGCUUGCUUGAUUUUUUCUUUCUUUAUUUGUUUUCUCUAAAACUUUUUGUUUUUCUUGGGAAUGGUUUCUCUUAUUCUAUUUUCUUUUUAUUUAAUAAUUAUUCUUCUUAAAUCUUAACUUUUAGGUUGCAUUAGGAUGAAAUUUAAAUCAUAGAUGGUAAAAUAUGUGGACUAAAUUUGUACUUAUUAAAGUUCAAUUACUAAUUUGUUACAUAAUUGAAAGUACAAAAACCAAAUUAUUAUCGUUGUUACUUCCACCAAAAUUUUCAUCCAUGUGAUAAAAGGAAAGCUAAUAGCGGGAAGUUUCAAUCCAUCCCCUCAUUUGUUGUUCUAAACAUGUUUAAUAAAUACUAGUAGUUAGAUAACAAUCUAUUUGAAAGUAGUUUCAACUUUCUAUCAGAAGGACAGGACAGGUGAACCAAGAUCCUGUCUGUUGAGGCCAAAUGGGACCCCUCCAUUUUCAGCUGACCAUCAAAAUCAAUUAAUUUUUCUUGAAUCGGUUUUGGGAUACUGAAUAACUUAGCCAACAUUGCAGCUGAUGCUGGAGAGAAGCCAACUCGUCGGAUUCUCGUCGUCACAGCAACUUCCAGAGCCCACCCAAGACUCUCAUCAGCAAUAACACUGGUAAUUUCUUCAACACCUAACCUAUGGAUUGUGUUUAUCAGCUCUUCAAGCUUCAUGCUCAUGGUAUCCGACAUUGUGUCAUGUAAUUUACCAAGAUCAUUUCUAUUUGCACCAGGUUCCAUGUCAUCUGUGAUUGAAACUAGGUGAAUAUUAGCAUCUCCUAUAUGAUUUGUUUCUGCUAGAGCAUCCAUUCCAUGUUUUUGACUGUGCUCUGUGUUCAUGAUGGUGAUUUCAAAUCCUUGUUUGGCUAAGCACGGCGAGAAUUCUAGCAGGGGGAUCACAUGGCCUUGUGCUGGAUAAGGUAUUGCUAAAAUGUGCCCACUACCUGUUUCUCUUCUGUAAUUUAAGAUUUAAUUGUUAUUUGAUUGAUUUUUUAUUUUCUACUUUAGUUUGUCACUAUAUAUACAACACACACCACAAUCAAAGUGAUUUGGAGGAAUCUUCUUCUCUAUACUCUCUAAGCCAUGCCGUUGUCAUUUCAUAUGUGACACUAACCUAACUUUGGUUAUAUCUAGCUCCUAAUUGUUAAUUGUUAUUUGUGUUCGCCUUCACUUUCUUCUGGUAUUAAAUAUGUUAAUUUUUCUUAACUUGUUGGAAACUUUUCUUAAUAUUCCAUCCCUUUUUUCAUCUUUUCUUUUUCUCUCCAUUUUCUUGGCUUUAUAUGCUAUGAUAUUUGAAAGAAACCUAAGAGACUUUCAAAAUUGAAAUAUACAAAUUUUAGGUUGCUAAAAUUAUAACCUAGUUAGAAGCGUGUCACGGUUAUAAACAAUUGUGUUGUCGAUUUCCAAAAUUUCAAAAGCUUUACUUUUACUAAAUUGUGCAUAGUUCAACAGACAAAAUGUAUGUACUUUACUAGACGAUUCACACAACGUUGAAAAGGGUCUUAUGUUUUUUCUACUCGUGGCAUUAUGCUCUUCUAGUCUUCUUUUUUUUUUAAAAAAAAACUAAUUAACCUAAACUUAUUCUCAUAGAUGAUAUUUGUAAGUAGAUAAUUUUUAUAUUUAUAUAUGCGGUCCUUUUGAAUUGUUCUUUUUCCUUUUUCGUAAUAUUUUUUUAUGUGGUCUUUAAUUAUUUUUGUUACUGGUUUUAUUAAUCAAUUGGAUUGGAAAUUUAAUAGAAAAACAUUAAGUACACUUUUAUUUCAACGUAGUCAGCACUAUUUACUCAUUAAUCGUGUUCUUGUAACUUUUCAGAACUAUGAUACGUAUAUUCUUUUGUUUUUUUUGUUUUUUUUGCAGUUAAUAGAAAUUGUUUAAGAAAUAUGUAUAGAAGGACCUUUCUAGAAGUUAAAUUGAACUCUAAAUUUGAAAAAGAUAGAAUUUUGGUCUUAUGGUUCUGUCAUGUGAAAUUACCACUUUGACUUCAAGUUCACGUUUCUUCCUUCUUUGAUCUUUUGAUUUUCUUUUGUCAUUUUUUUAAGAAUCUAACAUGCAGCCUUUUAUUUUUAUUUUUUAAUCUAAUUUAUUCUUCUUCCUAAUUUUCUUCAAUCUAUUCUUCUUCAAUUGAUUUAUCUGGUCAAUCUGCAUCUUUUUUCUUUUUUAAUUUUUGAGAAACAAGGACAGUAAGAAGAUUUUUUAAUUUUUGAGAAGGGAAGGAGGAUGGAAGGAGCGAGAUGCCAAAAGCGAGAGCGAACAUGAAAAUCCUAACCAAGUUGAUGACAAAUGCGUUCAUUCUAAACUAAAAAUGUAUCAACGUCAAUCCUCAAGGUCCACACAAGCAUUUUGGCCAUAAAAGUUUCAAAAUAUGUGAGUGUGUAUAGAUAACAGGGUAAGCAGAUCGAAGCUCAAGCUUUGUGGUUGAUUGUAUACUAGUUGCGUGUUGAACUAUGGGAAAGAUGAUAUUAAUAUGGAGCAACAAACCUGUAGUGGUUCCUUUAUUGACAUUAGAUUAAAAUAUGUUAAGUUUUCAACCAGUUUAUGAAAUUGUUCAGGUUAUUAUAAGAUUGACCGCCUUCUUUGAUGCUUUCCACUACCGUCUUCUUUAAUUUUUGAAUUCUCUGUUUUGAAUCCUCAUCUGCUAUGAGCUUCUC